ACCUGCUGUACAGAUUUCCUUACAUUGACCAGAUUUGAGGGUGACACUUUCAGAAGAGUCUCCUGUUUAAGAGUGGAAACCUUUACAUACUAAAUCUCUCUAAAGGACCUUUUAUACUUGACAAAAAGAGUGAAGGUCAUGAUGCCUAAUGAUGAUGUCACUGAAAACUCUCAUGGACUACCUGAUGAACAACUUUCCUUACAUUGACAAGAUUCAAGUUUGCACUUUAAAGGCUCCACCAAGGGACGACUGACACUGAAGCAGACGCGCACGGUCAAAUAUCAGAUGGAGCUCAAUGAGUCUCACUGAAGAGCUGAAGGAAGGACUGAGAGAGG